rnacentral:rRNA from 1 species
GAGUACGGCCGCAAGGUUAAAACUCAAAUGAAUUGACGGGGGCCCGCACAAGCGGUGGAGCAUGUGGUUUAAUUCGAUGCAACGCGAAGAACCUUACCUGGUCUUGACAUCCACAGAACUUUCCAGAGAUGGAUUGGUGCCUUCGGGAACUGUGAGACAGGUGCUGCAUGGCUGUCGUCAGCUCGUGUUGUGAAAUGUUGGGUUAAGUCCCGCAACGAGCGCAACCCUUAUCCUUUGUUGCCAGCGGUCCGGCCGGGAACUCAAAGGAGACUGCCAGUGAUAAACUGGAGGAAGGUGGGGAUGACGUCAAGUCAUCAUGGCCCUUACGACCAGGGCUACACACGUGCUACAAUGGCGCAUACAAAGAGAAGCGACCUCGCGAGAGCAAGCGGACCUCAUAAAGUGCGUCGUAGUCCGGAUUGGAGUCUGCAACUCGACUCCAUGAAGUCGGAAUCGCUAGUAAUCGUGGAUCAGAAUGCCACGGUGAAUACGUUCCCGGGCCUUGUACACACCGCCCGUCACACCAUGGGAGUGGGUUGCAAAAGAAGUAGGUAGCUUAACCUUCGGGAGGGCGCUUACCACUUUGUGAUUCAUGACUGGGGUGAAGUCGUAACAAGGUAACCGUAGGGGAACCUGCGGUUGGAUCACCUCCUUACCUUAAAGAAGC